rnacentral:rRNA from 1 species
AGUGAACGCUGGCGGUAGGCCUAACACAUGCAAGUCGAACGGCAGCACAGUAAGAGCUUGCUCUUACGGGUGGCGAGUGGCGGACGGGUGAGGAAUACAUCGGAAUCUACUUUUUCGUGGGGGAUAACGUAGGGAAACUUACGCUAAUACCGCAUACGACCUACGGGUGAAAGCAGGGGAUCUUCGGACCUUGCGCGAUUGAAUGAGCCGAUGUCGGAUUAGCUAGAUGGCGGGGUAAAGGCCCACCAAGGCGACGAUCCGUAGCUGGUCUGAGGGGAUGAUCAGCCACACUGGAACUGAGACACGGUCCAGACUCCUACGGGAGGCAGCAGUGGGGAAUAUUGGACAAUGGGCGCAAGCCUGAUCCAGCCAUACCGCGUGGGUGAAGAAGGCCUUCGGGUUGUAAAGCCCUUUUGUUGGGAAAGAAAAGCAGCAGGUUAAUACCCCGCUGUUCUGACGGUACCCAAAGAAUAAGCACCGGCUAACUUCGUG